rnacentral:rRNA from 1 species
AUUGAACGCUGGCGGCAGGCCUAACACAUGCAAGUCGAACGAGUGGGGACGGGUGAGUAACACGUGGGUAACCUCCCAUCAGAGGGGAUAACACUUGGAAACAGGUGCUAAACCGAUACUGAUGGAUGAACCCGCGUUGCAUUAGCUAGUUGGUGGGGUAACGGCUCACCAAGGCGACGAUGAAUAGCCGACCUGGAGGGGUGAUCGUCCACACUGGGACUGGGACACGGACCAGACGCCUACGGGAGGCAGCAGUAGUGAAUCUGCAGCAAUGGACGAAAGUCUGACCGAGCAAAGACGAGUGAAGGAAUAAGGUUUUCGGAUCGUAAAACUCUGUUGUUAGAGAAGCGGUAUCUAACCAGAAAGCCACGGCUAACUACGUGCCAGCAGCCGCGGUAAUAC